GGCAAGCCCCAUGAAUUCCCAUACAUGUCACACAAGCUGAGCCUGGAGAGAGUAGGAAACUGGAUCAAACUAGAUACCGGACGUGGUCUGAUUAUAACCGGGGACCUCCCAAGCAACGUUUUCACAAUUGAAGUCAGUGGCUGGUACUUUGGAAAAUUGGCAGGUAUACUUGGAACCUACAACAAUGAGCAGUACGAUGAACUGACAACAGGUGACAACAAGAUUGUCAAAAAUGAGGACAGCUUCUACAACAGUUGGGAAGUCAGCAAGAAAUGCAGGCCCAAUGGAAACAAUGCUGUGGACAUCAUCCAGGAUGAGAGUGAUGUCAAGUACAUCAAAUGUGCUAAAGUCCUCAAGUCAACCGACUCGGUGCACAGGCCAUGCUUCAGACAGGUUAAUCCAGACAAAGCUUUUGAGAUGUGCUUGAACCGAGAUGAUAUGUGUGCUGCCUCCAGAUUCUAUCUUCAUCAGUGUCGUCAACAGGGUGUAUAUCUGCCUCCUCCUAAAGAAUGUGUUCAGUGUGUUGCCCCCAAUGCUGAGAGUUUCGUGGCUGGUGAGACCAUUAGGAUUUCUCCAAGGAGUGAUGACUACCAGCCUAUUUCGUCAGCAGAGACAAUCUUCAUUGUGGAGGAGAAACCAUGCAAUAAGGAGACAACCAAACACCUUGGCUCUCUAGUCUAUGAAGUUGAACAAGAACUCACUAAAGCUGGUAUUUCAAACAACAAAUAUGGAUUGAUUGGGUUUAACAAGAAGGGAUCACACAGUCAUACAAUGGAUGGCCAGUUACUCAAUGAUGCUACCAAUUUUGUCAAGGGUGUAGAAAGUCUCACCUUCACUAGCUACAAGACAGACACAUUAGAUGCUAUCCUCCAGGCUGCCAAUUAUCCAUUCCGUGCCGGUGUUGUCAAGAACAUUAUUCUUUUGCAAUGUGGAGGUUGCUCUGAUCUCAAAACCAUUCAGUACCAACAAGUUAGACACACUCUGCAGGCCAGAAACAUUCAAUUCCACAUUCUGAGAGACCAGGAAUUCAUGCCUGGAAACAAAAUUCCAAAACAGAAAAUCUUGGGAAUGGACCGCACAAGGAAAUAUGUCCUUCAGAACUCUAAUGACAAGAGCCUUGAGAACAUGGGUUAUUCAGUGGACACCUGCUCACACCUGGCCCUACUGUCCAAUGGUUCAAUCUUUGAUUCCAGCUCACUUUCCCUAAAGAAAGUCCGCCACCAGAAAAUGGCCAUUGACACCAUCAGUAACCGCAUAGCUAAAUCCUCUUUACCCUCCCAAUGCCAAGUCUGUACUUGUGAGGCCGAUGAGACUGGGGCUGCUAAGUCAGUCUGUAGAAGUUGUUACUCAGAAAUGACAGAUUAUAUUAGCCUCUGGUGGAACACAUUUAGGCACCCAAUGACCAUUGAGCAAGAGAUUAACAAACAGUUUCAGGAGUUCUUGAAUGCAAAGAAAAAUUGGGCAGUACUGACAGCGUAAAUGAGAAAAAUGAACAAACUUUAUACCUGAUGAUCCCCCUGUGAUUUGUGCAAUGAUCAAUGCAGAAAAAACAUUAUUAGUAUCAUUACAAAUGUACUCAUUUUUAUCACUACUCAUUUUUAUUCAUUUAAAACUAUCGUGUGAGUUUUCCUCUUUAAUCUUACCAAUCAAAAAAAUGUUUGAAUAAAAAUCCUGUAAAUACUUUGACUUUAUUUAUUGUUAAGUAAUAUGUAAUAAAAUAUUUGAAUAAUG
rnacentral:misc_RNA from 1 species